UGGGGAAUAUUGCGCAAUGGGCGGAGGCCUGACGCAGCGACGCCGCGUGGGGGAUGAAGGCCUUCGGGUUGUAAACCUCUUUCAGCAGGGACGAAUCCAGACGUGUACCUGCAGAAGAAGCGCCGGCUAACUACGUGCCAGCAGCCGCGGUAAUACGUAGGGCGCAAGCGUUGUCCGGAAUUAUUGGGCGUAAAGAGCUCGUAGGUGGCUUGUCGCGUCCGACGUGAAAGCCCGCGGCUUAACCGCGGGUCUGCGUUGGAUACGGGCAGGCUAGAGGCUGGUAGGGGCAAGCGGAAUUCCUGGUGUAGCGGUGAAAUGCGCAGAUAUCAGGAGGAACACCGGUGGCGAAGGCGGCUUGCUGGGCCAGUUCUGACGCUGAGGAGCGAAAGCGUGGGGAGCGGAACAGGAUUAGAUACCCUGGUAGUCCACGACCGUAAACGGUUGGGCGCGUAGGU
rnacentral:rRNA from 1 species